rnacentral:rRNA from 1 species
GACGAACGCUGGCGGCGUGCUUAACACAUGCAAGUCGAACGGUAAGGCCCUUCGGGGUACACGGGUGGCGAACGGGUGAGUAACACGUGGGUGAUCUGCCCUGCACUUCGGGAUAAGCCUGGGAAACUGGGUCUAAUACCGGAUAGGACCACUGCCUGCAUGGGUGGUGGUGGAAAGCUUUUGCGGUGUGGGAGUGGGCACCCGGCCUAUCAGCUUGUUGGAGGGGUGAUGGCCUACCAAGGCGACGACGGGUAGCCGGCCUGGGAGGGUGACCGGCCACACUGGCACUGGGAUACGGCCCAGACUCCUACGGGAGGCAGCAGUGGGGAAUAUUGCACAAUGGGCGCAAGCCUGAUGCAGCGACGCCGCGUGAGGGAUGACGGCCUGCGGGUUGUAAACCUCUUUCAGCACCGACGAAGCGCAAGUGACGGUAGGUGCAGAAGAAGGACCGGCCAACUACGUGCCAGCAGCCGCAGUAA